CAAUAGACAUCUUCUUAUACUCAGGUUAUAUAUUUGGGUUGUGAUGGCCAGAUGACAAUUAACAUAUGAAGAAACAGAAAAAGAUUUUUCCAGGUUAUCAUCCUGUUUUCCAUGGCCACCAGCAGUGGGUAUGGGAGAGUCAUCCUCCGCAAACUUGCCAGUGUCUCCUUUAGAAGCUUUCUGUAUUCUGGAUACAAGAAGACUGUCAUCUGAUAUACAAUUUCCCACAUUCAUUUUCCCAGGUAAGAAAAAUAUGUUUCUAUCAUAUAUUUGGAAGAAUAGAUAUUUUCUCACUUUAUGGAAUUCGUAACACUCCAGUUCUUCAUUUAAUGAAAGGGGGUUUGCCAUAUCUAAGAAGUUUGUUUGU